AAUCUGUAAUCGGAGAAGAAAUUCCGCAGGGUCUGAACUUGGUCUUCCUCUGGGGAAGAUCUGCACAGGACUUUGGAAGAGGUUUGUGUGGCCACCAAGAGUGAUGUCAUGAAGAGAAUGAUGGUGACUUGUUUAAAAAGGGCGGCGGAGGCUGGGAAGUGUCGCUUUCCUAAUAUCCCACAAGGAGUGAGUAGCGGCACUGGGAUUCGAUCUCAGGACUUACUGGUUAGGAAGGCUUAACCAUCGACAGUGCCUUCUACCGAUCUGGGAGGUCCUGGAGAUACGACCCAGAAGGACGAUCCAGGGCGCGGUGCAAGUCUUCUCUGCCCGCCCGGGCUCAGGCUCAGACGUUGCCAGAGGCGCGAUUCUGGCUGUGCCAGUCGAAAACGACCAGGGCGCCCAGCGAGAUGAGGACCAGGCCCGCCAGCGCCAGGCGGAGGACGUUGCCCUGCGUGUAGUCCGAGGCGCCCGAGCCUGCGGGGCCAGCGAGGGAGAGAGGCGGGUUUCUCAGCUUCUUGGUGGAUCUUAGUUCCCCGACCAGGGAUUGAACCUGCACCCUCGGCAGUCAAUGCUUGGAAACCUAACCACUGGACCACGGGUGAUUCCCAUUAGUGACAUUUUUGGAUAAGUCUGGAUGAUUCUUUAGGGGUACAUCCCGGUGAAUCACAGCAGUGGGCUCUGCAGACCUGAAGAGUGCAAACCUCCAGGCGGGCUGGGGUGUCUGGCACCUCAAGGUGACAUUGACC